rnacentral:rRNA from 1 species
GCAUAUCAAUAAGCGGAGGAAAAGAAACUAACAAGGAUUCCCCUAGUAACGGCGAGUGAAGAGGGAAAAGCCCAAGUUUGAAAGCUGGCACCUUCGGUGUCCGCAUUGUAAACUCGAGAAGCAUUAUCCGCGCCGGACCAAGCUUUAAAUCCUUUGGAAUAAGGUACCUUAGAGGGUGAUAGUCCCUUUCAUAGUUUGGAACCCCCGGGGCUUUGUGAUUUGCUCUCCAAGAGUCGAGUUGUUUGGGAAUGCAGCUCAAAAUGGGUGGUAAAUGCCAUCUAAGGCUAAAUAUAGAGGAGAGACCGAUAGUGAACAAGUACCGUGAGGGAAAGAUGAAAAGAACUUUGGAAAGAGAGUUAAACAGUACGUGAAAUUGCCGGAAGGGAAGGGUAGGAAGUCAGAUAUGCCUUUGCGGAUUCAGCUUGACCUUUCGAGGUUGUGUGUAUUUCCGUUUGGGCAGGCCAACAUCGAUUUUGGCUGUCGGAUAUGAAUGGAAGGAAUGUGGCACUCUCUUCGGAGGGUGUGUUAUAGCCUUUUAUUUGGUACGGCGGCUGGGAUCGAGGAACGCAGUGCACCCUUUUAGGGCGGGCCUUUGGGCACCUUUGCACAUAGGAUGUUGGCUUAAUGGCUCUCUGCCACCCGUCUUGAAACACGGACCAAGGAGUCUAACAUGUAUGCGAGUCUUUGGGUGUGAAAACCCAUAGGCGAAAUGAAAGUGACCUUUAAGGUGGGACUCUUCGGAUGCACCAUCGACCGAUCUUGAAUUUUUAUAAUGACGGAUUUGAGUAAGAGCAUAUAUGUUGGGACCCGAAAGAUGGUGAACUAUGCCUGAAUAGGGUGAAGCCAGGGGAAACUCUGGUGGAAGCUCGUAGCGGUUCUGACGUGCAAAUCGAUCGUAA